AUUGAACGCUGGCGGCAGGCCUAACACAUGCAAGUCGAACGAGUGGCGGACGGGUGAGUAAUGUCUGGGAAACUGCCUGAUGGAGGGGGAUCACUACUGGAAACGGUAGCUAAUACCGCAUACCAUCAGAUGUGCCCAGAUGGGAUUAGCUAGUUGGGGGGGUAACGGCGCACCAAGGCGACGAUCCCUAGCUGGUCUGAGAGGAUGACCAGCCACACUGGAACUGCGACACGGUCCAGACGCCUACGGGAGGCAGCAGUGGGGAGUAUUGCACAAUGGGCGCAAGCCUGAUGCAGCCAUGCCGCGGGUAUGAAGAAGGCCUUCGGGUUGUAAAGUACUUUCAGCGGGGAGGCGUUACCCGCAGAAGAAGCACCGGCUAACUCCGUGCCAGCAGCCGCGGUAAUUC
rnacentral:rRNA from 1 species